GCCACUGUAUGUAAAAAAUGCUGAGUGAUUUUAAUAAAGAAUUUGCAGGGAAGUACAAUGUGUCGCACCUUGUUGACUCUUUUACAGAUGUGUGGAAACGUCGUAGCGGAUGAACGUGAAUUAUGGAUCUCCAAGUGGCGUCGCCCGCGUCAUUUUCAAGAUUUUACCCGUUUUGAAGGCAAUAGGGCUGUUGAUAGGGAGAAUGCUAGGCUACUGCAGACUGCAACCAUAGGCGCUGUGUCUAAAGGUUAAGCUCACAUGACGCGGCAGGGAAGGGAGUCCGUGGCGAAAAGUGAAUAUAGCCGAAGUUGGAUAGCGUUAAUUUUUGCGCACGAAAGGCAAGCUGGACACAUCGCAAAUCUCCAGUUGUACGAAACACAGUGCAGCAUGGUCGUCGGUUAUGCCAGUGCUUCAACAUAUGUUUCAGCGUCGCACUUCGGACAUUGCGGGCAUAUACCUUUAAGUUUUUCCCCUUGUGGACCGAUGCUGUGUGUGUUCAUGGACAUCAUGUUUUCAAAGACAUGUAAGUUCUCAAUAAUAAUGCGAAAAAAAUGC